AUUGAACGCUGGCGGCAGGCUUAACACAUGCAAGUCGAGCGGGGUGAUGGUGCUUGCACUAUCACUUAGCGGCGGACGGGUGAGUAAUGCUUAGGAAUCUGCCUAUUAGUGGGGGACAACAUCUCGAAAGGGAUGCUAAUACCGCAUACGUCCUACGGGAGAAAGCAGGGGAUUACUUGUGACCUUGCGCUAAUAGAUGAGCCUAAGUCGGAUUAGCUAGUUGGUGGGGUAAAGGCCUACCAAGGCGACGAUCUGUAGCGGGUCUGAGAGGAUGAUCCGCCACACUGGGACUGGAACACGGCCCAGACUCCUACGGGAGGCAGCAGUGGGGAAUAUUGGACAAUGGGGGGAACCCUGAUCCAGCCAUGCCGCGUGUGUGAAGAAGGCCUUAUGGUUGUAAAGCACUUUAAGCGAGGAGGAGGCUCUUUUGGUUAAUACCCAAGAUGAGUGGACGUUACUCGCAGAAUAAGCACCGGCUAACUCUGUGCCAGCCGCCGCCGUAA
rnacentral:rRNA from 1 species